rnacentral:rRNA from 1 species
AUUGAACGAGGGAGGAAGGAAGAACACAGGCAAGUCGAACGGUAACAGGAAGCAGCUUGCUGCUUUGCUGACGAGUGGCGGACGGGUGAGUAAUGUCUGGGAAACUGCCUGAUGGAGGGGGAUAACUACUGGAAACGGUCGCUAAUACCGCAUAACGUCGCAAGACCAAAGAGGGGGACCUUAGGGCCUCUUGCCAUCGGAUGUGCCCCGAUGGGAUUAGCUAGUAGGUGGGGUAACGGCUCACCUAGGCGACGAUCCCUAGCUGGUCUGAGAGGAUGACCAGCCACACUGGAACUGAGACACGGUCCCGACUCCUACGGGAGGCAGCAGUGGGGAAUAUUGCACAAUGGGCGCAAGCCUGAUGCAGCCAUGCCGCGUGUAUGAAGAAGGCCUUCUGGUUGUAAAGUACUUUCAGCGGGGAGGAAGGGAGUAAAGUUAAUACCUUUGCUCAUUGACGUUACCCGCAGAAGAAGCACCGGCUACCUCCGUG